rnacentral:rRNA from 1 species
AUUGAACGCUGGCGGCAUGCCUUACACAUGCAAGUCGAACGGCAGCACGGGAGCAAUCCUGGUGGCGAGUGGCGAACGGGUGAGUAAUAUAUCGGAACGUGCCCAGUCGUGGGGGAUAACGCAGCGAAAGCUGUGCUAAUACCGCAUACGAUCUACGGAUGAAAGCGGGGGAUCGCAAGACCUCGCGCGAUUGGAGCGGCCGAUAUCAGAUUAGCUAGUUGGUGAGGUAAAGGCUCACCAAGGCGACGAUCUGUAGCUGGUCUGAGAGGACGACCAGCCACACUGGAACUGAGACACGGUCCAGACUCCUACGGGAGGCAGCAGUGGGGAAUUUUGGACAAUGGGCGAAAGCCUGAUCCAGCAAUGCCGCGUGCAGGAUGAAGGCCUUCGGGUUGUAAACUGCUUUUGUACGGAACGAAACGGUGAGCUCUAAUACAGUUUGCUAAUGACGGUACCGUAGGAAUAAGCACCGGCUAACUACGUGCCAGCCGCCGCCGUAA